rnacentral:rRNA from 1 species
AUUGAACGCUGGCGGCAUGCCUUACACAUGCAAGUCGAACGGCAGCACGGGAGCAAUCCUGGUGGCGAGUGGCGAACGGGUGAGUAAUAUAUCGGAACGUGCCCAGUCGUGGGGAUAACGUAGCGAAAGCUACGCUAAUACCGCAUACGAUCUAUGGAUGAAAGCGGGGGAUCGCAAGACCUCGCGCGAUUGGAGCGGCCGAUAUCAGAUUAGGUAGUUGGUGAGGUAAAGGCUCACCAAGCCGACGAUCUGUAGCUGGUCUGAGAGGACGACCAGCCACACUGGGACUGAGACACGGCCCAGACUCCUACGGGAGGCAGCAGUGGGGAAUUUUGGACAAUGGCGCAAGCCUGAUCCAGCAAUGCCGCGUGAGUGAAGAAGGCCU